CCACCUACGUAGUCUGUCUCUCUCACUCUCUUUCUCCCCAGCACCUCCUACUCGAUCCCCUUUCUCCUGUGUUCUCUCUCCCGUACGGCGGCGCUCACCGCAGAACUCUGGGCUCAACACGCGACGUCCAACACCAUCGAAGGGUUUCCCUCUGGCCAGCUCCUUGGCGUAUCUGUUCUCCACACUGUUGCGCCCAUUCUGUGCAUAUCCCGGCGCCCUACUUCGUGUGCUUCUGGUCUGCACAAGUAGCGCUCCUCUCGGCGAUCAUUCAUCCAGACGAAAUUUUCUUCUCUGAUCUUGAACUUGCAAUUGGUGAAUGAACGAAGAAACAACAGCAGGAAUGGAGGAGAACCAUACUUCUUCGUUCAAAACACCUACAGGUUCCAUCGAGAGAAGUUUCCAGCACCAGCGUUGCCAUUCCUCCACUCAAUAAUUAACUUGUAUGCAAGAAAGCUAAGGUUUCAACUUUGGUUAGCAAAAUGCCACGUCCACCAUUCAAUAGCUGAAAUGAAUGACAAGACAAGAAAGAACUGUCACACUCAGGCCAUGGCAUAAACAUAAGGACUCUCCAUGUAAUCCCUAUAAUAUGACGUUGUAAUAGCCGAAUCUAUCUUAUGUUGAAGCUAAGGAAUUGCAUAUGAGAAUCAUACAAUGUUGCUGCUAUUGUUAUAUUUACUGUAUGUUAUAUCUUCUUUUCAAAA